UCCUGAACUAGCAGACUCCUAGUCUUGGC
rnacentral:piRNA from 1 species